GCGCUCGUAGCUCAACUGGAUAGAGUAUCGGGCUUCGAACCCGAGGGUUGGGGGUUCGAGUCCCUCCGAGCGCGCCA
rnacentral:tRNA from 2 species